AAAGAAGUUUCAAACCUCAAAAAGUAAAUUAAUGUCACAGUUGUUGUAACUACUAUUAUCUGAUUUGCCCUAUUAAUCACUUAUUAACAAAUACUGAAAAAAAUUGUGUCAUACGUUUUUUACGUAUGAUGGAAAGUUAGCAAGCUAGCAAAAUACAGAUAAGCUAGCAGCUUCACAUCACAGGGUAAAACGGUUAACAUUCAGUAGUCAUUGCAGACUGUAACAACUCAGAAAUAGCUUAAUCUGCUGCAACAAAAGCUAAAUAGAAAGAGUACAAACGUUCAUCGUUUCGACUUCUGAACAAGCGACCGCCGUAAUGAAAAUAAACGUGAGGUGAUCUCGGAGCUUACGCAACUAACGUUGCCGUAACUACACACACUUGUUACCUAGCUACACAGUCUCCGUAACGCGAGGAAUUUACAACAGUGACGACUACGAUGCAGCACUUAAAAAUUUAUCGGAAUCAAAGUAUUAAACUCAUCG